AAGGAGGCGGGCCUGCCGGCCGGCGUUCUCGAACCUUCAUGCCCGUGCCCGGCUGGGGAAGGGGCCAGUCGCCGGACGGGGUGGAGCUGAGGAAGGGCGGGAUCCAAUCAGAGCUCCAGGCUGCCGCUUUAUUUGCAUAAAGGGGACUUGACGCCGGCUGGUGGGGCGAAGGCGGAAGGAAGGCCGUGAGAGGCUACGAGUAGCCGAGCAGCUACUGGCAGAUGAGAGAUUCAUUCUUCAUUUCCUCUUGUGUGCCCAUUUCCACUAGGAGGAUUGCCAGUUCAGAGGCUAGUGUUGAUAUCAACCUACAUGAAUAAGUUCUCUCCCUCAAUGCAACAAGGAAACAUGGCUUCUUCUUGGUGGAUGCUAAUUGUGGCUGAAUGGAGACCUACCACUUUUUGGUCGGCUUUGGAAUCAUGCAGCAGCCACUCAAUAUCCAGGCUUCUUGGCUCCAGGAGGCCCAGACGGUGGUGACAGGGCAGAGUGACGUUUUCCUCAGCCACCCUCUUAAACUCCGUUUGAGCCCCUGACAUCCAAACUGAACAGGAAGCUGAAAGACACAAACCGGUGGUCAGUGACCAAGAGGAAGGAAA